CCUACGGGAGGCAGCAGUGGGGAAUAUUGCACAAUGGGCGAAAGCCUGAUGCAGCCAUGCCGCGUGUGUGAAGAAGGCUCUAGGGUUGUAAAGCACUUUCAGCGAGGAGGAAAGGGUGUAGGUUAAUACCCUGCAUCUGUGACGUUACUCGCAGAAGAAGCACCGGCUAACUCCGUGCCAGCAGCCGCGGUAUACGGAGGGUGCAAGCGUUAAUCGGAAUUACUGGGCGUAAAGCGUGCGUAGGCGGCUUGUUAAGUUGGAUGUGAAAGCCCCGGGCUCAACCUGGGAACUGCACCCAAAACUGGCAAGCUAGAGUGCGGAAGAGGAGUGUGGAAUUUCCUGUGUAGCGGUGAAAUGCGUAGAUAUAGGAAGGAACACCAGUGGCGAAGGCGACACUCUGGUCUGACACUGACGCUGAGGUACGAAAGCGUGGGGAGCAAACAGGAUUAGAUACCCUGG
rnacentral:rRNA from 1 species